rnacentral:lncRNA from 1 species
ACAGGACUGGUACAACCCAGGAUCUAUGGGAAAACAGUACUUCUUGGGGUUAGAGAAGGGUUUGGCCGGUUCAGGUAACCCGGCUUACCCCGGUGGACCUUUCUUCAACCCUCUUGGGUUUGGGAAAGAUGAGAAGUCACUGAAGGAGUUGAAACUCAAGGAGGUCAAGAACGGUAGACUGGCUAUGCUCGCCAUCCUCGGUUACUUUAUCCAAGGACUAGUGACCGGUGUGGGACCUUAUCAGAACCUGCUUGAUCACUUGGCUGAUCCCGUCAACAACAACGUCUUGACCAGCCUCAAGUUCCACUGAGGUGAUCAUCAUCUCAUGUGUUUUUAUGUCUCUUGUAUCGUACAAUAUUUCCAUCUUUCGCUACCAUUGGCUUCUUCGUAUUGUAACACCCUGUGUAAACAUAUUCGUGUUUUGUAAGAAAUGACAAUGUCAAUGGCCAAACGAAAAAACUUUUAGGAUUAACAGUUGGCAUUUGCAAACCAAACAAAGCGGUUAGUAUAUUCAAAGAAUGUUAUGAAAUACUGUACCUGUUAUGCUUUAAAAGUAGUCUCAUCUUAUCACUCUGUAUCUCCCAAACCAC